rnacentral:misc_RNA from 1 species
GAAAUGCGAUAAGUAAUGUGAAUUGCAGAAUUCAGUGAAUCAUCGAAUCUUUGAACGCACCUUGCGCUCCUUGGUAUUCCUUGGAGCAUGCCUGUUUGAGUAUCAUGAAAUCUUCAAAGUAAAUCUUUUGUUAACUCAAUUGGUUUCUACUUUGGUAUUGGAGGUCUUUGCAGCUUCACACCUGCUCCUCUUUGUUCAUUAGCUGGAUCUCAGUGUUAUGCUUGGUUCCACUCGGCGUGAUAAGUUAUCUAUCGCUGAGGACACUGUAAAAGGUGGCCAAGGUAAAUGCAGAUGAACCGCUUCUAAUAGUCCAUUGACUUGGACAAUACUUUUAUGAUCUGAUCUCAAAUCAGGUACGACUACCCGCUGAACUUAAGC